GCUGUUGCCCCUGUGACUGGAGUCUUGCUGACAUUUUAAAUCGAUGAAAGAAUCCUAUCAAAUUGAUUCAUUUCUUUGCUGGAAUGAAAGGAAAGAUUUCCGGUAACAAAGAACACCACCCAAAAGGCCACUGGAGGCCGUCUGUCCUCUCUUGCUAGGGCUCUGCCAAUAAGGAAAUCAAAGGAGAUAAAAGGAGGCCUUCAGGAGUUUGUCCCCUUUGACCCCGUUUCCCACUCCGAGUUCAUGCACAGUUGGGAGCAGAGAGAGCUAACAGCUGAGAAAUGGAACAUUCAAGAAUACAAAUCUGCAAAAUGCACAGAUGCCUGAGAAUAAAAAGCAAGAGAACUUUUGACAGAAGCCAAAAGCCAUUGAGGAAGUGGGACCUUCACUUGUGAAAAUACUUCCAUCAGAUUAGCUUGUAGG